rnacentral:rRNA from 1 species
GACGAACGCUGGCGGCGUGCUUAACACAUGCCAGUCGAACGGAAAGGCCCUGCUUUUGUGGGGUGCUCGAGUGGCGAACGGGUGAGUAACACGUGAGUAACCUGCCCUUGACUUUGGGAUAACUUCAGGAAACUGGGGCUAAUACCGGAUAGGAGCUCCUGCUGCAUGGUGGGGGUUGGAAAGUUUCGGCGGUUGGGGAUGGACUCGCGGCUUAUCAGCUUGUUGGUGGGGUAGUGGCUUACCAAGGCUUUGACGGGUAGCCGGCCUGAGAGGGGGACCGGCCACAUUGGGACUGAGAUACGGCCCAGACUCCUACGGGAGGCAGCAGUGGGGAAUAUUGCACAAUGGGAGGAAGCCUGAUGCAGCAACGCCGCGUGCGUGAUGACGGCCUUCGGGUUGUAAACCGCUUUCGCCUGUGACGAAGCGUGAGUGACGGUAAUGGGUAAAGAAGCACCGGCUAACUACGUG